rnacentral:rRNA from 1 species
CCUACGGGCGGCUGCAGUGAGGAAUAUUGGUCAAUGGACGCAAGCCUGAACCAGCCAUGCCGCGUGCAGGAAGACGGCUCUAUGAGUUGUAAACUGCUUUUGUACGGGGGUAAACGCAGAUACGCGUAUCUGUCUGAAAGUAUCGUACGAAUAAGGAUCGGCUAACUCCGUGCCAGCAGCCGCGGUAAUACGGAGGAUUCAAGCGUUAUCCGGAUUUAUUGGGUUUAAAGGGUGCGUAGGCGGUCGGAUAAGUUAGAGGUGAAAUCCCGAGGCUCAACUUCGGAAUUGCCUCUGAUACUGGUCGGCUAGAGAGUAGUAGCGGUAGGCGGAAUGUAUGGUGUAGCGGUGAAAUGCUUAGAGAUCAGACAGAACACCGAUUGCGAAGGCAGCUUACCAAGCUACUUCUGACGUUGAGGCACGAAAGCGUGGGGAGCAAACAGGAUUAGAUACCCCUGUAGUC